AUAUGCACUAAACUCGGUGUCGAUGAGAAUUAUGGGUUCUUAUCUCUACUUUUAACCUCCAUUGACAAAGUGAAUCAAAGAGCUUCUUAUAUUGAAAAGAUGAUGUGCAAGCAAAAGAAGACAUGCUGGUUUUUACCAAUUAUUGAGAGUCAUCAUUGGAUGCUUCCUGUCAUUUGCCCGUAUGAAAAUACUAUAUACUGGUUUUGUUCACUGAAAAGGAAAGUAAGCGACGACAUGAAGUCUUUGAUUGAAUUAUCUUUAGCGACAUAUUGGAAAUUAGCAAGAAUGGUUCACAAGAAAAAAAAAUGAAAUCAAGUUUUACCAAUGCAAGUAAGUAUUUUAAAUUUAUUCCUUAAUUAGAAUGAAGAUUAUAAUAUUGGUUUAAUGAAUUUAAUUAUUUCUAUUUUCUUUAUAGUGUCCUCAA